CCCCUCUCAGGAUUGCACCUGGAGAGUUUCCAGUACUCUGCCAGUCUCGGCUAUGGGAGGGAAAGUCAAGCAGAGGCAUACCCAUUCCAUUGUUAGCUUGGGCAGAAACUAGCGAAUGGAAGGCAAUUCUCUACAAGU